AGGCCGUAAGACUCUCUAUCAUUCCUCACACAUCAAAUCCUAACAUAAAGCAUUUGUUUCUUUUCUAUUGAAACAAUAGCCACAUCUAGCUAGGGUUCUUUCUUAAAAAAGGCUUAUGGAGAUGGAUCAAUCAGUUUGAAUCAAAAAUUAAGUUUUAAAAGGGUAAUAAAUGGUGGUGACAGAAGAGAGUGAGCACACAUGGUGUUUUCUUGCAUGAUGUUUAUAUAUAUAUGCUUGAAACUAUGUGUGCUUACUCUCUAUCUGUCACCCCCACCACACAAACUCUCUAUUUACAUAUUGUUCUUCUUGUAGUUGUGAAAGAGUCUUGGAGUAACGGGUAAAGUUAUUUUUACGUGUUAAGGAAUGUAAUAUAAGACUGCUUACAAUAGGUUCUUGGAAACAACCUCUUGCAGAGAUAAUGUAAGGGACAUUUUUUUUGUUUCCAGGAGGGUGUGAUCACCAUGCAAGAUUAAAAUUUGUGUUAGGAAGUUCCUUGCUGAGGAUCAAUGCUUCUUAGGUGAAGACAAAGUUAAUUUGUGACAACUUCUACAUCUCUUCCUUCAGGGUGCAAGUUGUGUCUAUUUAAUUUUAAACGUUAUAUUCUCUUUGAAUCUCUUGUAUUUGUUUAGAUUAGUUUCAGGUCAAGUGUAAUUCUUGACAGAAAUACAUUGUUCACUUUCGCAUUUUAUAUUUUAUGUUCCCCUUAGUUUA